GAGGAGCUUGCUUCUUGGGUGGCGAGUGGCGAACGGGUGAGUAACGCAUCGGAACGUACCGAGUAAUGGGGGAUAACUGUCCGAAAGGACAGCUAAUACCGCAUACGCCCUGAGGGGGAAAGCGGGGGAUCUUAGGACCUCGCGUUAUUCGAGCGGCCGAUGUCUGAUUAGCUGGUUGGCGGGGUAAAGGCCCACCAAGGCGACGAUCAGUAGCGGGUCUGAGAGGAUGAUCCGCCACACUGGGACUGAGACACGGCCCAGACUCCUACGGGAGGCAGCAGUGGGGAAUUUUGGACAAUGGGCGCAAGCCUGAUCCAGCCAUGCCGCGUGUCUGAAGAAGGCCUUCGGGUUGUAAAGGACUUUUGUCAGGGAAGAAAAGGGGCAUGUUAAUACCGUGCUCUGAUGACUGUACCUGAAGAAUAAGC
rnacentral:rRNA from 1 species